AACAUGUUGUACGAGUUGGUAAGAUCAUCGAUAUGAAGGGGGGAAAAAAACAAGUCUGUAACACAUCGUAUGUAGUGGAUGACUUUGUUCAACAAUGUCUCGCUUUGGGGCGUUACUUUCACAACUACUGGCAGAAAUCAAAUAUUUAUGACUCAUCUUUAAAAUAUGCUAUAUUUAUUUACAACUUCCUGUUCUGUUUCCAUUUUCAGCAUUUACCUGUGUGAUAAACAAUGUGGUGCCAAAUGCCCAUUUUUGUUUCAAUAUUUUUUAUAUAUUUCUUAUAUUGGAAGAUGGGGCACCCCCAACAGACUUAAUUGUACUGUAUGUGCAGAACUUUAACGAUGAGGAAAAUAUUGGCGGAGUGUUUAUUAUUUUCAGAUAUUUAUUUGAUAAUGAAUGAGACAGUCUGUAUAAUAGAGAGAUUUACAUGCAGAGAUGUUUUGAAAUGGCUGACGAGCAUUGUGGGUAAUGUUUUGAAAUGGCUGACGAGCAUAGUGGGUAAUGUUUUGAAAUGGCUGACGAGCAUUGUGGGUAAUGUUUUGAAAUGGCUAACGAGCAUUGUGGGUAAUGUUUUGAAAUGGCUGACGAGCAUUGUGGGUAAUGUUUUGAGAUGGCUAACGAGCGUAGUGGGUAAUGUUUCAUGGUGUGAUUGAUGACCGUACAUUAUGCGUUUGGUUUUAGGAAGUAUUGUGCUUGUCGUGUAACUACAAUGCCAGGAACUGAUUUCUGUUCAAAUUAUAAGAAGUUUAAUAUGAAAGUGUUUUACUUUUUCGUUUUUUUUUCUUCCAUUGUCUUUUUUUUUUUUAGUUGUUGCUAAUUUUGGGGUUUUGUACUUCAUAAAAACAGGUUGUGUUUCUUUUUCAGAUGUUAUGAUCAGACGCUGGGCCUGAAAAUUCAGCUACAUGGGUUCUCUGUUAUUCUAGUAAAACUACUUAAAGGAAACGGUAUUCUCAAGUCAUUUUGUUUUAUGUGUACUGUGAAGACACUAGUUUUGUUCCAUGGAUGUUCCCAUUGUCGUGGAGUUGACUAUAUCAGGGGUUCUGAAACGCUUAGGGGACCCCCUUUUCGUGAUAGCAAAUUCAUCAGGGACCCCGUUCAUAAUCAGAACACAACUCAAGUGAGAUAAAAAAUAUAUUUAAAAAAAUAGCCUACUAUUACUUGUCCUACGUCUGCAGUUCAUGGCUGGACGAACCAAGUCUCGGGCCCGGGGAAAACAUUUGAAAAGCACGAUUCUUGGCAUCGUAGAUACAAUUUUGCCAUUUUUAAGUUAAUUUUCUGCAAUUCUACACAUUUUGCCAUGAGGCAGAGAGAACUUUGCAGUUGUAAAGGCCCCGUGCAGUCAAAAACAGGAUGUGUUUAUAUAUAUAUAUAUAUUUCCACACUAUGAGAUUGGAAUAAUACUGUAAAAUGGUGAAAAUUAUGAUAAUGCCCUUUUAGUGUAAGAACCGUUUAUAUCAGCCUGUUUUGGUGGGAUGGAGUUUUGACCUGCCUGGUGACAUCACCAAGUGGUAAAUUAGCUAAUAGACCAAUAAGAAAGAGUUCCAAACCUCUCUGCCAAUAACAACUAGUUUUCAGUUUUCCUGUCCCAAUUCAGACCACUCACAG
rnacentral:lncRNA from 13 species